UGGCUCAUUAAAUCAGUUAUGGUUCAUUUGAUCGUACAGUUUACUUGGAUAACUGUGGUAAUUCUAGAGCUAAUACAUGCGAGAAGCGCCGACCUCGCGGGAGGCGUGCAUUUAUCAGACCAAAAACCGGCCGCGUCUUCGGGCGCGUUCGCCUUGGUGACUCUGGAUAACUUUGCGGAUCGCACGGUCUAGCACCGGCGACGGAUCAUUCAAGUGUCUGCCCUAUCAACUUUCGUCGGUACGGUAUUUGCCUACCGAGGUUCUUACGGGUGACGGGGAAUCAGGGUUCGAUUCCGGAGAGGGAGCCUGAGAAACGGCUACCACAUCCAAGGAAGGCAGCAGGCGCGCAAAUUACCCAUUCCCGACGCGGGGAGGUAGUGACGAAAAAUAACAAUGCAGGACUCGUUCGAGGCCCUGUAAUUGGAAUGAGUACACUUUAAAAGCUUUAACGAGUAUCCAUUGGAGGGCAAGUCUGGUGCCAGCAGCCGCGGUAAUUCCAGCUCCAAAAGUAUAUAUUUAAGUUGUUGCGGUUAAAAAGCUCGUAGUUGGAUUUUGGGCGCAGGCGGCCGGUCCGUCGCAAGGCGUGUACUGGACGUCCUGGCCUUCCCUCCGGUUCUCCGCCGGUGCUCUUGACUGAGUGUCGGCGGCGGCCGGAACGUUUACUUUGAAAAAAUUAGAGUGUUCAAGCAGGCUCUCGAGCCUGGAUAAUGGUGCAUGGAAUAAUGGAAUAGGACCUCGGUUCUAUUUUGUUGGUUUUCGGAGCGCGAGGUAAUGAUUAAGAGGGACAGACGGGGGCAUUCGUACUGUGCCGUUAGAGGUGAAAUUCUUGGAUCGGCGCAAGACGAACGACUGCGAAAGCAUUUG
rnacentral:ncRNA from 1 species